UUGUUCGUCAAAGCGGUUGUGGUGUGUUGAGGGUCGUUUCAUAUCACAGCCAGCUUUGAUGAGCAGUU
rnacentral:pre_miRNA from 1 species